rnacentral:rRNA from 1 species
GAUGAACGCUGGCGGCGUGCCUAAUACAUGCAAGUCGAGCGAACAGACGAGGAGCUUGCUCCUCUGACGUUAGCGGCGGACGGGUGAGUAACACGUGGAUAACCUACCUAUAAGACUGGGAUAACUUCGGGAAACCGGAGCUAAUACCGGAUAAUAUAUUGAACCGCAUGGUUCAAUAGUGAAAGACGGUUUUGCUGUCACUUAUAGAUGGAUCCGCGCCGCAUUAGCUAGUUGGUAAGGUAACGGCUUACCAAGGCGACGAUGCGUAGCCGACCUGAGAGGGUUAUCGGCCACACUGGAACUGAGACACGGUCCAGACUCCUACGGGAGGCAGCAGUAGGGAAUCUUCCGCAAUUGGCGGAAGCCUGACGGAGCAACGCCGCGUGAGUGAUGAAGGUCUUCGGAUCGUAAAACUCUGUUAUUAGGGAAGAACAAAUGUGUAAGUAACUAUGCACGGCUUGACGGUACCUAAUCAGAAAGCCACGGCUAACUACGUG